UACAGAGGUGGCAAGCGUUGUUCGGAAUUACUGGGCGUAAAGGGCGCGUAGGCGGCCUUCUAAGUCGAACGUGAAAUCCCCGGGCUCAACCCGGGAACUGCGUCCGAUACUGGAAGGCUAGAAUCCGGGAGAGGGAUGCGGAAUUCCAGGUGUAGCGGUGAAAUGCGUAGAUAUCUGGAGGAACACCGGUGGCGAAGGCGGCCCCCUGGGCCGUACCUGACGCUGAGGCGCGAAGGCUAGGGGAGCGAACGGG
rnacentral:rRNA from 1 species